GGUGCUUUGGCUCAAGUGAUAGAGCACUUGCCUUGCAUGCAUGAGGCCCUGGGUUCGAUUCCUCAGUACCA
rnacentral:tRNA from 1 species